AACCCCAACAACAUUUAAAAUGAGAAUUGGAGUGAAAGAAAUGUGGAUUUGGAGAAGUCUGGGACCAGCUUCCCUCCCCCACCACCAUGGGCUCAAGAUCAAUCAUCCCACCUAG